CAGGCCUGUGCAGGGUCCUUGGUGAGUUCUCCAUCCCAGUGAUCAGGAGGCAGAGGGGAGCUGUGGAAACGGGGUGAGGUAGAAGCUGGAGAAGGGAGUUUCAACCUGAUGGUGCAGGUCAGUUCUGCGCAUUGCUGUGGAGAGGUCAGAGGGUGAUGUAUCAAGGCGACUGGGUUUGGUGACUGGAUUUUGUGGCCUCGAGAGGACUAGUAUACUUUGCGAGGAGCGCUUCUGUGCAGGGUGUAGGUGGACACUAGAUUGCCAGCACAGGGAGUUGAGGUGAAUGGGUGCUGAGGAAAUAGGCAGAGCAGUGCUGUUUUUUGAGCAGUGGGAAUGAAGGAAAUGGAGAAGCAUGAGAGCCUGACAGACGGGCAAAGUGAAAGAAAAGGCUGGGGACAGGAGUCAGGGCAGAGAAUUAAGUGUGAUUAAGUAAUGGAAGAGACUCACUGUGGACACAAGAGUUAAAUGAGCUGCAGCAAAUGCUUUAUUUGUAAUGAGGAGAUACUGAAGAUAGAAGCAGGGAGUGAUUAUGUCCUAAGGUCCUGAGGGGGUCAGAAGCAGAAGGGCCCAGGAGGACGGUUAGCUGAGGAAAGGAUAUGCAAGCAGUAGACCGAGGUGGAGGGUGGGGAGUGUAAGAACUCUUUUGCUUUGGCUGUGAUUUUCUUGGUGGAGUAGGGAGAGGCCAUCCUAUCCAUUGGGUAGUGGAGAGGAGAGGAGGAAUGGUAUUAGGAGCUUAAAACAGAAAAGGUUUGGGAUAGAUGCCAUGGGAAAUAAAAUAGGCACACGGCAAUGAAAUUGUGGAUUGCUGAGUAGAGUUGAAGCCCCCUGGAGUUAGGCAGAGUAAAUUGUAGUGGACUUUACUCGGGAUUCGUGUUAGCAAAAGCGUUGUUGAAACAAUGGACCAGGCUGGGAAGCAAAACAAGCAAGGCUGAAAGAUGGCUGAUAGAAGUGUCCAGAGGUGUUGGUGGAUGGGAGAUCAAGCUGGUAAUGUAUAGCCCAGUGAGUAGCAAUGGAGACAUAAAAGGGAACUGGGUGACUAUGCCACAGGAACAUUCUGAAUCGUAUUUUGGCACUGGGGUCAUUCUGACUGAGAACCUGGGCAGAGAAGGGCAGGUUUGAGUGGCUGAAGGGAUGAGUAGAGAUGAGGAGAGAUGCAGCUCAUUAAGGAGGAGUUUGAGGAGGUAUGGCUAGGUAGGAGGAAGCUGCCAGAGGUUAGUAACAGACCAGGGUAGAGAGGAAGACUGAGAAAGAUAGUGAUACCAUCCAGGAAAGUUAGGAUUGAGUCAUUGGGAUCCACAGUGGCAGACAGUGAUAGAUUUUUCCGGUAAUGUAG
rnacentral:lncRNA from 1 species